AGUGGUUCCCAUCCUAUCAUGUUACCUCACAGAUGUGACUGUCUAUCUCAGCGGUUCCCAUCCUAUCAUGUUACCUCACAGAUGUGACUGUCUAUCUCAGCGGUUCCCAUCCUAUCAUGUUACCACACAGAUGUGACUGUCUAGCUCAGCGGUUCCCAUCCUAUCAUGUUACCACACAGAUGUGACUGUCUAUCUCAGUGGUUCCCAUCCUAUCAUGUUACCACACAGAUGUGACUGUCUAUCUCAGCGGUUCCCAUUCUAUCAUGUUACCACACAGAUGUGACUGUCUAGCUCAGCGGUUCCCAACCUUUCCCAUUCUGGAGACCAUCAAAUCAUCGUCAAAAGCUCUUGACGACCACCAUUCACGGAGUCGCUGAUUUCUUUCACAUCAAAUAUAUUGAUGGUCAAAUCCUAUCAAUACAUGUGGAUGUAACAAGGCCUGUAAAGGUCUAUUAUUAUUAGAAACUAUUUGCAUUGUGAAAAGGAAUGUAAAAUUACCAUUAAUACUCCCAACUGUUAUUAUUUUUGAAUAAUAAAAUACAACAAUCUCUAAAUAAUUGCAGACCAGCUGCACCACCCCCAGGGACCACAGGUUGGGAACCACUGGUCUAGGGUCUUUCAGCCAGACCUAGUUGUUGUGUCACACUGCCCUCUGCUGGUAGCACUGCAAAACAUCACCUAAAUAAAUCAAAUCAUUAAAUUAAUUAAUUUAAUUGCACAUUUAAUAGAUAUAACCUUAAUUUAUAGGCUGAAUACUGGUAUUAAGUGUAUGAAGACUUAACAUGACAUAAAUAUCAACAAAUGAACCUAUAGGUGUUGAAUCCGCCCACUGUGUUGAAACAGGAAGUCCAUUUAUAAGGAAGCAGAGGAAAGGGUCUCUUAUUAUUAUAGCUCAAUGGUGCCGUUACUUCGCUUCACCUCCGUUCCGCCAGUAAGAAUAAACAAGACCUAAAUCCACUUUUAACAGAAAUUCAUAUUGUAUGGGCUGAAUACUUACAUGAAGUGUAGGGAGACUUUACACGACAUAAAUAUGAAUAUAUAAUAUAAACUUAUACGUGUUGAACCCGCCCACUGUGUUGAAACAGGAAGUACAUUUAUACGGAAUUAGUUGAAUAAAUGGACACCAUCGGUCGAAGAAAAAUGUUUCUGAACUCCCAUAGACUUAACAUUGGUCGGACAAUUCAGCCGUGGUUGGAUAAAACAGACGUGGUUGGAUGUUCACAUGUGAAAGACUCUCGUCCGCCGAGCUACAAGCGAGAUAGUAGAGCUGCUCAUCGAUUUGACUGGUGUCGUAACGCAGCCGUGUUCCUGCCUCUGACUGCCAUCGUCCUCACAGAGCCCAGCCUAUUUUCUCUGCAUCGGCAACACUACAGCAGCUCCUCGGAGUGAAGCCGCUUUUUGAGCGUCAAACCAGCAGACUAAUCCAACUAGCAUAACCAUGUCCCUGUGUCCUCUGUCCUCUUUUCUUAUAUAUCAUAAUAUCAUCGUACGUACACAAUAUCAUUAUAUAGUCUAACGACCCUGGGUUUAUAAGCGUGGAUAGCGACUGUUGUACAGAAAUGAUCUAACAGUUCCAAACUCAAUCAGAAGUAGUUUAAUCCAUUUUAUUCAAGUAGUAUAUUUGCCAUUUGCAAGUACCUAUUAAAAGUAAUAUAUAGGAAUUAUUCUUUGUAGCUCUCUCACAUAUAGUAGGUCUACAUAGCACACAGAGGUAUACAGUAUAACAGUCACAUAGAACAAAUAAAACAUUCCUAAAAUCCUCUAUGACGUCCUUUAAUUUCAGCACCAGGUUGAUUCCACUGCACAUCGCUGUUAGACACUGCGCUUCUUGUCUGUCUGUAGGCUGUCUCGUCGUUGUUAUUGACGAGACUUAUGACGUUUUUAGUCUCACAAUGGAUUCUGAGGAACCCUUUUUAUUAUAGUGCUGUGAUAAUACAAACAUACAGCCUCCUUAAUAUCUAAACAUAUUAUUUGAAAGACUGAAGACGGAGAGUUCUGCAUGAAAGAUGUAUUUUAUUAUUGUCAGUGACAUGGCACACAACCAUUGGUUGAGGCAAUGUUGCGUGUCAAUUGUAGACGGCCUCGUAGGAUUUCAGUGGGCGGGGCUGCAGCGGAGCUCAGCAUUUCUUCCGAAUCUCUCUCCCCCCUCAGCUAUGCCGGUGUGUAAAUGGGAGCCGAGACUAUCACACAGUGCCAAUAGAGAGACGCCGAUGAAGUGUGUAUCAGUCAUGCUGGUGGCUGGCAGCGACGACAGAGCAGAGCGUGACAUGCCAGUGGUUUUUCCUGAGGGGAUGUGUUUUCUUGGUCUUGGAUCCACGGAGUGAUAGCGGAAUGUUCCAUUUAUUCUAUGGUUCUUUCCUUCCCGUCUUAUUUCUAUCACCAUGGCAUGAUCCAGAGCAGGGCGGUGUAACUGGUUGAUUCAACAUCACUGUUAUAGUGAUAGGAAGAGACACAGAGGAUUUUGCAACAAGUGCAAGUAGGAAAACAGUCAUUACACCUUUCCCCCUCAUAAUCAAGGCAGUUCUCUCUGGCAGUGUUCAAGCCUUAGCAGCAGUCAAUCGGAGUGUUUCUGACUUCUGGCUGAUUUGUUCUGAUGAUGAUGGCGGCUGGCAGCUCCCUUCUGGUUUCGUUUUACAGCUCAGAGUGUCAGUGAGUAGAGAGGCAGUGCUUGUUUUAUAGUGACUUGUAUUUCCAUUCACUUACAAAAGUGAGACAUACAUUUCUCCAGUAGAUUAGUUGUAUGCUUCGCCCGGGUAGGAUAACUUACUGUCUAUUAUUUUCUAUCCAGUACAGCUUGGUUUUAUAGUGACUGACUUGACAUUUGUCGGACAAUUCAGCCGUGGUUGGAUAAAACAGCUGUGGUUGGAUGUUCUCAUGUGAAAGACUCUCGUCCGCCGAGCUACAACCGAGAUAGUAGAGCUGCUCAUCGAUUUGACUGGUGUCGUAACGCAGCCGUGUUCCUGCCUCUGACUGCCAUCGUCCUCACAGAGCCCAGCCUAUUUUCUCUGCACCGGCAACACUACAGCAGCUCCUCGGAGUGAAGCCGCUUUUUGAGCGUCAAACCAGCAGACUAAUCCAACUAGCAUAACCAUGUCCCUGUGUCCUCUGUCCUCUUUUCUUAAAUAUAAUAUCAUCGUACGUACACAAUAUCAUUAUAUAGUGUAACGACCCUGGGUUUAUAAGCGCGGAUAGCGACUCUUCCGCUUGAGCAUGCUUUUGGGGCGCAGUCAAUAGCGCGCUGGACUUCGGGCUACAAGGUUGAGGGUUCAAGGCCUGCUCCCUACCUGUUUCAUUACGUUACAUUUUACUAUCGUUAUAUUUCUGUGCUACAGAAAUUAUCUGACAGUUCCAAACUCAAUCAGAAGCUUUUCUAAGUUUUAUUCAAGUAGUUUAAUCCAUUUUAUUCAAGUAGUAUAUUUGCCAUUUGCAAGUACCUCUUAAAAGUAAUACAUUUGAAUUAUUCUUUGUAGCUCUCUCACAUAUAGUAGGUCUACAUAGCACACAGAGGUAUACAGUAUAACAGUCACAUGGAACAAAUAAAACAUUCCUAAAAUCCUCUAUGACGUCCUUUAAUUUCAGCUCCAGGUUGAUUCCACUGCACAUCGCUGUUAGACACUGCGCUUCUUGUCUGUCUGUAGGCUGUCUCGUCGUUGUUAUUGACGAGACUUAUGCGUUUUAGGUCUAAAGUAGUGCCCUACAUGGGGAAUAGGGUCCUGGUCUAAAGUAGUGCACUAUAUAGGGAAUAGGGUCCUGGUCUAAAGUAGUGCACUAGAUAGGGAAUAGGGCCCUGGUCUAAAGUAGUGCACUUAAUAGGGAAUAGGGUCCUGGUCUAAAGUAGUGCACUAGAUAGGGAAUAGGGCCCUGGUCUAAAGUAGUGCACUAUAUAGGGAAUAGGGCCCUGGUCUAAAGUAGUGCACUAUAUAGGGAAUAGAGCCCUGGUCUAAAGUAGUGCACUAUAUAGGGAAUAGGGCCCUGGUCUAAAGUAGUGCACUAUAUAGGGAAUAGGGCCCUGGUCUAAAGUAGUGCACUAUAUAGGGAAUAGAGCCCUGGUCUAAAGUAGUGCACUAUAUAGGGAAUAGGGCCCUGGUCUAAAGUAGUGCACUAGAUAGGGAAUAGGGCCCUGGUCUAAAGUAGUGCACUAUACAGGGAAUAGGGCCCUGGUCUAAAGUAGUGCACUAUAUAGGGAAUAGAGCCCUGGUCUAAAGUAGUGCACUAUAUAGGGAAUAGGGCCCUGGUCUAAAGUAGUGCACUACAUAGGGAAUAGGGCCCUAAUCAAAAGUAGUGCACUACACAGGGAAUAGGACCCUGGUCAAAAGUAGUGCCCUACAUAGGGAAUAGGGCCCUGGUCAAAAGUAGUGCCCUACAUAGGGAAUAGGGCCCUGGUCAAAAGUAGUGCCCUACAUAGGGAAUAGGGCCCUGGUCAAAAGUAGUGCCCUACAUAGGGAAUAGGGCCCUGGUCAAAAGUAGUGCACUACAUAGGGAAUAGGGUCCUGGUCUAAAGUAGUGCCCUACAUAGGGAAUAGAUUACCAUUUGGGACAGACAGAGACUCAAGGCUGAGUGUUUAACAGUAAAAAGAGAUUGAGAAAUGACAGAAGUAGGUUAAAAGUAGGGAGAGCACUGAUGGAGAGAGAGAGUACUUUGAUUGGUACUGUAUGUCUUGUAAAUAUUAAUUAUAUACAGUCCCAGUCAAACGUUAGUUAUUUAGUUUGUCAGUUUUUCUAAAUUUUUGGCUAUUUUCUACAUUGUAGAAUACUAGUGAAGACAAAACUAUGAAAUAACACAUAUGGAAUCAUGUAGUAACCGAAAAAGUGUUAAACAAAUCAAAAUAUAUUUUAGAUUCUUCAAAGUAGCCAACCUUUGCCUCGAUGACAGCUUUUCUUCUGAUUAUCUUGAUCUCUGGCUCCCUCUUGAGUCAUUAGUGUCUUAAUUGUUUUAUUGAACAGUGCGCUUAAAGCAUCAGACAAGCUCAGUGCACAGACCUAUAGUUGAUUUGAUUACAACACAUAGGGUGUGUCUAUGUGGAAAAAUCUGGUACAUUUACAGAAGGAUUUAUUGAUGUCCAGUAUCCCUGUCAAAUACAUGGAGUACAUGUCAAUUAAAAGGAAUGCGUUUUGUGUGUAUAUA